rnacentral:rRNA from 1 species
GACGAACGCUGGCGGCGUGGAUUAGGCAUGCAAGUCGAGCGAGAAGAGUUUUGAAGCUUGCUUUAGAACUCGGAAAGCGGCGAAAGGGAGAGUAACGCGUAGUUAUGUACCCAGGGGUUCGGAAUAGCCACGGGAAACUGUGGGUAAUGCCGAAUAACAUCUCCGGAUCAAAGGUGUGAUUCCGCCCUUGGAGCAGACUGCGUCCUACUAGCUAGUUGGCGGGGCAAUGGCCCACCAAGGCAACAAUGGGUAGCGGGUGUGAGAGCAUGACCCGUCUCACUGGGACUGAGACACUGCCCAGACACCUACGGGUGGCUGUAGUCGAGAAUCUUCGGCAAUGGGCGAAAGCCUGACCGAGCGACGCCGCGUGCGGGAUGAAGGCCCUCGGGUUGUAAACCGCUGUCGUAGGGGAGGAAGGCUUCGUGAAGAACGGGGUUUGACCUAUCCUAGGAGGAAGUACGGGCUAAGUUCGUGCCAGCCGCCGCCGUAAUAC